rnacentral:rRNA from 1 species
CGGGUGAAUAACGCGUGGAUAACCUGCCCUGAGGUGGGGGAUAACCCGGGGAAACUCGGGCUAAUACCGCAUGAUACCGAGAGGUCAAAGAGGGCUCGCAAGGGCUCUCGCCAUUGGAGGGGUCCGCGUCCGAUUAGCUAGUUGGUGGGGUAACGGCCUACCAAGGCGACGAUCGGUAGCCGGCCUGAGAGGGUGAUCGGCCACACUGGAACUGAGACACGGUCCAGACUCCUACGGGAGGCAGCAGUGGGGAAUUUUGCGCAAUGGGCUCACGCCUGACGCAGCAACGCCGCGUGGAGGAUGAAGGUCUUUGGAUUGUAAACUCCUGUCAGCAGGGAAAAAGCGAGCCGGCCUAACACGCCGGUGAGUUGAUUGUACCUGCAGAGGAAGCCCCGGCUAACUCUGUGCCAGCAGCCGCGGUAAUACAGAGGGGGCAAGCGUUAUUCGGAAUUAUUGGGCGUAAAGGGCGCGUAGGCGGCUUCGCAAGUGGAUGGUGAAAUCCCUCGGCUUAACCGAGGAAUUGCCGUCCAAACUGCGUUGCUUGAGGCCGGGAGAGGCGAGUGGAAUUCCCAGUGUAGCGGUGAAAUGCGUAGAUAUUGGGAGGAAC